UGUGAGGCUGAUGUGUAGGCAAAUCCGCACAUCGUUAAGGCUGGGCUGUGAUGGGGAGCGAAAAUUGCAGUAGCGAAGGUCAUGAGUUCAGGCUGCCAAGAAAAGCCUCUAGCCAGGUGAAGGUGCCCGUACCGCAAACCGACACAGGUAGGCGAGCAGAGUAUGCUAAGGCGCUCGGAAGAACUCUCGUUAAGGAACUCGGCAAAAUGACCCCGUAACUUCGGGAGAAGGGGUGCCUCGGUAGGGUGAAUAGCCCGAGGGGGCCGCAGUGAAAAGGCCCAAGCGACUGUUUAGCAAAAACACAGGUCUGUGCGAAGCCGUAAGGCGAAGUAUACGGGCUGACGCCUGCCCGGUGCUGGAAGGUUAAGGGGAGUGGUUAGCCGCAAGGCGAAGCUAUGAACCGAAGCCCCAGUAAACGGCGGCCGUAACGAUAACGGUCCUAAGGUAGCGAAAUUCCUUGUCAGGUAAAUUCUGACCCGCACGAAUGGCGUAACGACUUGGGCGCUGUCUCAACGAGAGAUCCGGUGAAAUUUUAAUACCUGUGAAGGUGCAGGUUACCCGCGACAAGACGGAAAGACCCCAUGGAGCUUUACUGCAGCUUGAUAUUGGACUUUGGUACGAUCUGUACAGGAUAGGUGGGAGCCUUGGAAACCGGAGCGCCAGCUUCGGCGGAGGCAUCGUUGGGAUACCACCCUGAUCGUAUCGGAGUUCUAACCUGGUACCGUGAUCCGGUACAGGGACCGUGUCAGGUGGGCAGUUUGACUGGGGCGGUCGCCUCCUAAAAUGUAACGGAGGCGCCCAAAGGUUCCCUCAGAAUGGUUGGAAAUCAUUCGUAGCGUGCAAAGGCAUAAGGGAGCUUGACUGCGAGACCUACAAGUCGAGCAGGGACGAAAGUCGGGCUUAGUGAUCCGGUGGUACCGCAUGGAAGGGCCAUCGCUCAACGGAUAAAAGCUACCCUGGGGAUAACAGGCUUAUCUCCCCCAAGAGUCCACAUCGACGGGGAGGUUUGGCACCUCGAUGUCGGCUCAUCGCAUCCUGGGGCUGAAGUAGGUCCCAAGGGUUGGGCUGUUCGCCCAUUAAAGCGGUACGCGAGCUGGGUUCAGAACGUCGUGAGACAGUUCGGUCCCUAUCUGUCGUGGGCGUAGGAAAUUUGAGAGGAGCUGUCCUUAGUACGAGAGGACCGGGAUGGACGCACCGCUGGUGUACCAGUUGUUCCGCCAGGAGCAUAGCUGGGUAGCUACGUGCGGACGGGAUAAGCGCUGAAAGCAUCUAAGCGUGAAGCCCCCCUCAAGAUGAGAUUUCCCAGUAUGUAAGACCCCUGGAAGACGACCAGGUUGAUAGGUUCGAGGUGGAAGCGCAGCAAUGCGUGGAGCUGACGAAUACUAAUCGGUCGAGGGCUUAUCC
rnacentral:rRNA from 1 species